CGCCGCGUGAGUGAUGAAGGUUUCGGAUCGUAAAACUCUGUUGUUAGGGAAGAACAAGUGCCAUAUACUGAUGGCACCUUGACGGUACCUAACCAGAAAGCCACGGCUAACUACGUGCCAGCAGCCGCGGUAAUACGUAGGUGGCAAGCGUUGUCCGGAAUUAUUGGGCGUAAAGCGCUCGCAGGCGGUUCUUUAAGUCUGAUGUGAAAUCUUACGGCUCAACCGUAAACGUGCAUUGGAAACUGGGGAACUUGAGUGCAGAAGAGGAGAGUGGAAUUCCACGUGUAGCGGUGAAAUGCGUAGAGAUGUGGAGGAACACCAGUGGCGAAGGCGACUCUCUGGUUUGUAACUGACGCUGAGGAGCGAAAGCGUGGGGAGCGAACAGGAUUAGAUACCCUGGUAGUCCACGCCGUAAACGAUGAGUGCUAGGUGUUAGGGGGUUUCCGCCCCUUAGUGCUGAAGUUAACGCAUUAAGCACUCCGCCUGGGGAGUACGGACGCAAGGCUGAAACUCAAAAGAAUUGACGGGGGCCCGCACAAGCGGUGGAGCAUGUGGUUUAAUUCGAAGCAACGCGAAGAACCUU
rnacentral:rRNA from 1 species